GUGGAUAUGGACUAUCAAUUAUAACAUGGGGCACACACCAUGUUCUCGAUCCAAUCCACGCACACGAGUUGCCUGAGUAGCGACAGGUAUACCGAUGUGCAAUACGUAUCCGGCCACGGCACGGAACGAACGGGAACUGUGGUGCAGACAUACAAAGAGUUAAGCCUAUUAGUCAUUAACUCUAAGGACGGGGCCAUGGGGCGGUACGCAAAGGAUACGGAUGAGCGAGUAUGCAGGCCCAAUACUCAAUAGCUCGAUCCGAUCCAAGCACAUGAGUUGACUGCGGCGCCAGGUUAACCAAUGUGCUAGAUUCUAUUUGGCCAGUAGAAUCUUGUGUCUUAUGCGAUUUGAUACCAAGACACCAGAACGAAAGUUAGUUGAAGAGUUAUUAAACUCUUAUGAAG